CAAUAGCGUAUAUUAAAGUUGUUGCAGUUAAAAAGCUCGUAGUUGGAUUUGUGGCGUACGGUGUGUUCCGGGCACUUGUUGUCUGAGUAACCUGCUGUUGCCAUCCUUGGGUGGAGCCUGUGUGGCAUUAGGUUGUCGUGCAGGGGAUGCCCAUCAUUUACUGUGAAAAAAUUAGAGUGUUCAAAGCAGGCUUAUGCCGUUGAAUAUAUUAGCAUGGAAUAAUGAGAUAGGACUUUUUUGCUAUUUUGUUGGUUUGCGCAAAGAGGUAAUGAUUAAUAGGGACAGUUGGGGGUAUUCGUAUUCCAUUGUCAGAGGUGAAAUUCUUGGAUUUUUGGAAGACGAACUACUGCGAAAGCAUUUACCAAGGAUGUUUUCAUUAA
rnacentral:rRNA from 1 species